rnacentral:rRNA from 1 species
AUACGUAGGGUGCAAGCGUUAAUCGGAAUUACUGGGCGUAAAGCGUGCGCAGGCGGUUUUUUACGACAGUUGUGAAAUACCCGGGUUCAACCCUGGAACUGCCCUUGUGACUUCAAGGCGCGAGUGCGGAAGAGGGGGUAUGAAUUCCCGUUGUAGCAGUGAAAUGCGUAGAUAUGCGGAGGAACAACGAUGGCGAAGGGGAUCCCCUGGGCCUGCACUGACGCUCAUGCACGAAAGCGUGGGGAGCAAACAGGAUUAGAUACCCUGGUAGUCCACGCCCUAAACGAUGUCAACUGGUUGUUGGGGAUUUAUUUUCUCAGUAACGAAGCUAACGCGUGAAGUUGACCGCCUGGGGAGUACGGCAGCAAGGUUAAAACUCAAAUGAAUUGACGGGG